rnacentral:lncRNA from 1 species
UACCUCUGGUGGUUCACCUCUUCCUGGGGAAACUGUCAUUUCUGGACACUUUGUUGAGCACUAGAGGCAUUUUAGGAACAACAGAAGGCCAACACAGAAAUUCACAAUGUAAAGCUCUGAUCCUCAAGGUUUGUUUCUCUUUGACUCUGCAGAAGUCCACGGAAGUCAGAGUGUGCUGGAGUCAACAAGGAGAAUUGGGGCCUGAUUGCAGAAAGUGUGCAAAACAUGGGAGGAACAUGAAAGAGGCUGUUUUGCCAGGAACAUUAAGCCAUUACUCUAUAUUGCUACAUGCACUCUGGGCAAACCCUUCACUGCUCUCCCGCCUUUCAUUUUGAUCAGUGCAAAUAGUCUGCUUUUAGGGGUGUCCUACUGCACUGCUUCACCCCAGAAGAGUGUCAUCUCCUUUCCCCUCUGCCCACAGCAAGUGAGAAGCUGGUCAAAGAACUGCAUUUCUCAUGCUCCCCCUGUGGCUGGCCCUGGAUUGCUGCAGCUCCUGCAGCAUUGCUUGCUCGUGACUGUUCCCAUGCAGGAGGUUCAGCACGCCAGCACCCUUCUCUAUGACCAGUAAUAGCAUUUCCUGAUCUUGGUUCACAUUUCCAUUCUCCGAGUUUACAAAGCAUAACACAAAGUUAAACAUCAAUUUGCCUUCACCUUCCAGCCCCUAUAAUGCGCUGCUGUGCUCUGAGUCCUGCCUCGGUAACAACGACUCUAUUACAAGAAGAAUAUCAAUAUUAAAGUAAUUUUCUCAACACAUUUCCUUUUGUGCAUGUGUGGUGUGAAGGAGAAGCAGGAAGUAAUACCUG